CGAGCGCCCCGCAAGGGGAGCGGCAGACAGGUGAGUAACGCGUGGGAAUCUACCCAGCUCUACGGAAUAACCCAGGGAAACUUGGACUAAUACCGUAUACGUCCUUCGGGAGAAAGAUUUAUCGGAGUUGGAUGAGCCCGCGUUGGAUUAGCUAGUUGGUGGGGUAAAGGCCUACCAAGGCGACGAUCCAUAGCUGGUCUGAGAGGAUGAUCAGCCACACUGGGACUGAGACACGGCCCAGACUCCUACGGGAGGCAGCAGUGGGGAAUAUUGGACAAUGGGCGCAAGCCUGAUCCAGCCAUGCCGCGUGAGUGAUGAAGGCCCUAGGGUUGUAAAGCUCUUUCAACGGUGAAGAUAAUGACGGUAACCGUAGAAGAAGCCCCGGCUAACUUCGUGCCAGCAGCCGCGGUAAUACGAAGGGGGCUAGCGUUGUUCGGAAUCAUUGGGCGUAAAGGGCGCGCAGGCGGCGUGUAAAGUCUGGCGUGGAAGUCCCCGGCUCAACUGGGGGAUUGCGUUGGAAACUGGCACGCUUGAGUACGAAAGGGGAUGGCGGAAUUCCAGGUGUAGGGGUGAAAUCUGUAGAUAUCUGGAGGAACACCAACGGCGAAGGCAGCCAUCUGGUUCAGUACUGACGCUGAGGCGCGAAGGUGCGGGGAGCAAACAGGUUUAGAUACCCUGGUAGUCCGCACAGUAAACGAUGUGCAC
rnacentral:rRNA from 1 species